rnacentral:rRNA from 1 species
CGUGCAAGGUAGCGUAAUCACUUGUCUUUUAAUUAAGGACCCGUAUGAAUGACAAAACGAGGGCUCAACUGUCUCCUUCUUUUAGUCAAUGAAAUUGAUCUCCCCGUGCAGAAGCGGGGAUUCAUUCAUAAGACGAGAAGACCCUAUGAAGCUUUAGACAAUCGGACAUACCCUGUUAAUACACCCCCAUAAAAGGGCCAAAACCUACCCACCCAUGUCCCCGUCUUAGGUUGGGGCGACCCCGGGGAACAAAAACCCCCCACGUGGAAUAGUAGCAUCCGCUAUCCACAACCAAGAGCCACAACUCCAAAAACCAGAACCUCUGACCACAAAUAUGACCCGGCAAUGCCGAUCAACGAACCAAGUUACUCUAGGGAUAACAGCGCAAUCCCCUUUUUAGAGGCCGCAUCAACAAGGGGGUUUACGACCUCGAUGUUGGAUCAGGACAUCCUA